UAGCAUGGAAUAAUGAAAUAGGACGCGCGUUCCCAUUUUGUUGGUUUCUGAGAUCGCCGUAAUGAUUAAUAGGGAUAGUUGGGGGCAUUCGUAUUCCGUCGUCAGAGGUGAAAUUCUUGGAUUGCCGGAAGACGAACUAUUGCGAAAGCAUUUGCCAAGGAUGUUUUCAUUGAUCAAGAACGAAGGAAGGGGGAUCGAAAACGAUCAGAUACCGUUGUAGUCUCUUCUGUAAACUAUGCCAAUUGGGGAUUAGCUCAGGAUUUUUAAUGACUGAGUUAGCACCCGAAGAGAAAUCUUUAAAUGAGGUUCGGGGGGGAGUAUGGUCGCAAGGCUGAAACUUAAAGGAAUUGACGGAAGGGCACCACCAGGUGUGGAGCCUGCGGCUUAAUUUGACUCAACACGGGGAAACUCACCAGGUCCAGACACAAUAAGGAUUGACAGAUUGAUAGCUCUUUCUUGAUCUUGUGGUUGGUGGUGCAUGGCCGUUCUUAGUUGGUGGAGUGAUUUGUCUGGUUAAUUCCGAUAACGAACGAGACCUUAACCUGCUAAAUAGACCAGCCGGCUUUGGCUGGCUGCUGUCUUCUUAGAGGGACUAUCAGCGUUUAGCUGAUGGAAGUUUGAGGCAAUAACAGGUCUGUGAUGCCCUUAGAUGUUCUGGGCCGCACGCGCGCUACACUGACAGAGCCAGCGAGUCUACCACCUUGGCCGGAAGGCCUGGGUAAUCUUGUGAAACUCUGUCGUGAUGGGGAUAGAGCAUUGCAAUAAGG
rnacentral:rRNA from 1 species